GAUCGAAGCAACAAGACGUAGCAGGCUGGAAUAAGGCUACUUGAAGAAGAGAAGCACCCAAAGAAGUCAAGCCUCGGCGAGACCAGGCAAAUUUGGUCUUUCUUAGUCUUUGCUCGGUUCUCGUUACACGAAAACGAGCAAAGAGGGGCAGCUGUAGAAGCCCAAAUUUGCUGGGCCCAUUGUCCAAAUAAAAUAAAAUACAACAAACCCAAAAU
rnacentral:lncRNA from 1 species